UACGUAGGGUCCGAGCGUUGUCCGGAAUUACUGGGCGUAAAGAGCUCGUAGGUGGUUUGUCGCGUUGUUCGUGAAAACUCACAGCUCAACUGUGGGCGUGCGGGCGAUACGGGCAGACUUGAGUACUGCAGGGGAGACUGGAAUUCCUGGUGUAGCGGUGGAAUGCGCAGAUAUCAGGAGGAACACCGGUGGCGAAGGCGGGUCUCUGGAACGGUACUGACGCUGAGACGCGAAAGCGUGGGGAGCGAACAGG
rnacentral:rRNA from 1 species